rnacentral:rRNA from 1 species
AGGAUUAACGCUGGCGGCGUGCCUAAUGCAUGCAAGUCGAACGCGGCCCCCUUCGGGGGGUUGGCGUGGCGGACGGGUGAGGAGCGCGUGGGCAACCUGCCCGGAGGUGGGGGGUAGCCCUCGGAAACGGGGGGUAAUUCCGCAUGGGGUCGCAUCUCUCGUGGGGGAUGUGAGCAAAGGGUCUUCGGACUCGCCUUCGGAGGGGCCUGCGUCCGAUUAGGUAGUUGGGGGGUAACGCCCACCAAGCCGGUGAUCGGUAGCUGGUCUGAGAGGACGGCCAGCCACACGGGGACUGAGACACGGCCCCGACUCCUACGGG